rnacentral:rRNA from 1 species
GGCUCAGGAUGAACGCUGGCGGCAUGCCUAACACAUCCCAGUCGAACGGGGAAAUGAAGCUUGCUUCGUUUUCUAGUGGCGGACGGGUGAGUAACACGUGAGCAACCUGCCUAAGGGAGGGGGAUAACAGUUGGAAACAGCUGCUAAUACCGCAUAAAGUGACAGGAUCGCAUGAUCGAGGUCAUGAAAGGAGAAAUCCGCCCAUAGAUGGGCUCGCGUCUGAUUAGCUAGUUGGUGGGGUAAAGGCCUACCAAGGCAACGAUCAGUAGCCGUACUGAGAGGUAGAACGGCCACAUUGGGACUGAGAUACGGCCCAGACUCCUACGGGAGGCAGCAGUGGGGGAUAUUGCACAAUGGAGGGAACUCUGAUGCAGCAAUGCCGCGUGAGGGAAGAAGAUUUUCGGAUUGUAAACCUCUGUCCCAGCCGAAGAAACGAAUGACGGUAGGCUGGGAGGAAGCUCCGGCUAACUACGUGCCAGCAGCCGCGGUAAUACGUAGGGAGCAAGCGUUAUCCGGAAUUACUGGGUGUAAAGGGUGCGUAGGCGGCUAGGCAAGUCAGGCGUGAAAUGUACAGGCUUAACCUGUGAACUGCGUUUGAAACUGCAUAGCUUGAGUAGAGUAGAGGCAGGCGGAAUUUCCGGUGUAGCGGUGAAAUGCGUAGAGAUCGGAAGGAACACCAGUGGCGAAGGCGGCCUGCUGGGCUCAAACUGACGCUGAGGCACGAAAGCAUGGGGAGCAAACAGGAUUAGAUACCCUGGUAGUCCAUGCUGUAAACGAUGAUUACUAGGUGUGGGGAGAUAGACCCUUUCCGUGCCGGAGUUAACACAAUAAGUAAUCCACCUGGGGAGUACGGCCGCAAGGUUGCAACUCAAAUGAAUUGACGGA